AUUGAACGCUGGCGGCAUGCCUUACACAUGCAAGUCGAACGGUAACGGGCCUUCGGGUGCCGACGAGUGGCGAACGGGUGAGUAAUGCAUCGGAACGUACCUUUCAGUGGGGGAUAACGUAGCGAAAGUUACGCUAAUACCGCAUAUUCUGUGAGCAGGAAAGCAGGGGAUCGCAGGACCUUGCGCUGAUUGAGCGGCCGAUGUCAGAUUAGCUAGUUGGUGAGGUAAAGGCUCACCAAGGCGACGAUCUGUAGCGGGUCUGAGAGGAUGAUCCGCCACACUGUGACUGAGACACGGCCCAGACUCCUACGGGAGGCAGCAGUGGGGAAUUUUGGACAAUGGGGGAAACCCUGAUCCAGCCAUGCCGCGUGAGUGAAGAAGGCCUUCGGGUUGUAAAGCUCUUUCGGCCGGGAAGAAAUCGCACAGGCUAAUACCUUGUGUGGAUGACGGUACCGGAAUAAGAAGCACCGGCUAACUACGUGCCAGCCGCCGCGGUAAGAC
rnacentral:rRNA from 1 species